ACCAACAUUAAAAAAAAGAAUGAGUGGCAACAUGUUGCUGCGGCAGUGAACGCUGUCAGUGGUACGGAGCGUACAGUAGCUGAAUUGAAAAAAAAGUGGUCCGACAUAAAGGUGGGUGCAAAGCAGAGGCUGUCCUAAAACCGCCAGAGCGUGACUGCAACUGGAGGGGGACCCAGUACUCCUGACCUAACACCAAUUGACACGAAAGUUGGAUCCAUAAUUGGCACCGCAAGCGUGAGUGGCAUCGUGUCCGAACGGGAAGGAGACAACACAGAAGAACAAGAGUCAGCGGUCGGUGGGGAGGAGGAUGAUGAUGCCGGCGAGGGGCCCUCGGCCGCAGGUCAUCUGGCUGCCCCCACCCCCAGCGCCAAGCGUCAGUCCGCUGGUCGGGUGCUCACAGACGCAGUUCUGCAGCUACAGAGGGAAACGAUAGCUGCAGUCAACAACUUGACUGAGGAGAUGAGGCAGAUUCGAAAUGUUAUCACCGAAAUUGCCACAACAUUAAAAUAU
ensembl:lncRNA